AUGGUGCCAAGUUGUGAUUUUCAAGGGUGGUUUAAGCGCCAAGUGUCUACGUGAGUGCCACAGAGGGUAUGGCCGUAGUAUUCAAGGGCCAUGGACCACCGAAGGGCCAUUAGAGGGAAGAUACUGUGUGCCAUGGUGCCAAGUGUACGAGGGUGCCACAGAGAGUUAGGUAGACGCCCCUGCCAUGGCCUUACUCAACUAGGGCCAUGGACCACCGGAGGGCCAUUGGAGGGGAGAAAUAAUGGUCCAUAGUGCCAUAUUUUGUGAUUUUCAAGGAGUAGCUGUGAAUGGCCUCAAUGAAGAAUGCGAGAAGUCUGAACAUGAGAUACAGGAGGAGGAGGAGGAGGAGGAGGAGGAGGGCCUGAUACGACAAGAAUGUGGCUUCACCUACAGGGGAUGCAUUUGAGAUUAAGGUAGGCCCAUGUGUGUAUUUACCUUGUUGUAUAUACCUUGUUGUGAAAUACUGGAAAAGAGAUGUACUAGGUUCGUGCUGUCCUGUCUCCAUAACGCUUAGUAGGCCUAUGUGUGUGUGUGUGUGUGUGUGUGUGUGUGUUUAAGGUUAGAUUAGGUUAGGCAAAGCUAGGUUAGGCAAGGUUAGAUUAGGUUAGGCAAGGUUAGAUUAAGUUAGGCAAGGUUAGAUUAGGUGAGGUAAGGUUAGUUUAGGUUAGGCAUGGUUAUUCAGCCUUCCAGCAGCUACGUAAUGUGUUAAAAAGCUUUGUGAGACUGUACAGGGUAACGCUUACUGGUCUGAACAUGCGUUGUUCAUGAGAGACUAGUGUUUAUAAACUAAAGCGCCAGCUUUUGACGAUGGGACACCAAAUAACACAACGCCGGGUGCCUUCAAUACCAUGGCAUGCUUGCAAACGAAUGUGGAAUAUCAAAUUUGAGGCAGUGAAUAAUCAUUUUUUGGGCAAAGUUAAAUGAUUUUUCUCACUGAUAUAUUGAUUAUUGAGUCUAACAUAAAAAAAUAACCUAGUGUUUUAAUGUUGAUGAUGUAAGUAUGAAAUCUCUUCACCGAAGUUUUUUCGUAUAACACCGGGCGCCCGGGCCACGUUUAGGGAGACGUUUUUCUCUGACAGGCGGAAAAAAGUAGCGAUUAUUGCUAGUUUGGUUACAAAAGUAACGAAGAUACUGAUAUAUAUUUAAUUAAGUAGCGGAUGGCCGAUAACCCAAUUUUAUUAUCAGCGAUAAAGUAUCGCGAUAACUUACCGCGAUAACGCCCAGCUAUGAGAUUAUGUUAGGUAAGGUUAGAUUAGGUUAGGUAAGGUUAGAUUAGGUUAGGGAAGGUUAGGUAAGGUUAGAUUAGGUUAGGGAAGGUUAGGUAAGGUUAGAUUAGGUUAGGGAAGGUUAGGUAAGGUUAGAUUAGGUUAGGGAAGGUUAGGUAAGGUUAGAUUAGGUUAGGGAAGGUUAGGUAAGGUUAGAUUAGGUUAGGGAAGGUUAGGUAAGGUUAGAUUAGGUGAGGUAAGGAAAACCGAGGUUUGACUGUAUUUUUAUUUUAUUUUAUUUUCUCUUUUUUUGUGUGUAUUUCUCUCUCUCUCUCUCUCUCUCUCUCUCUCUCUCUCUCUCUCUCUCUCUCUCUCUCUCUCUCUCUCUCUCUCUCUCUCUCUCUCUCUCUCUCUCUCUCUCUCUCUGUAAUUACCUUUCUGUCUACCUAUUUCUGGUUUUAUUUUAUUUUAUUUCUCUCUCUCUCUCUCUCUCUCUCUCUCUCUCUCUCUCUCUCUCUCUCUCUCUCUCUCUCUCUCUCUCU